AUUAAAAAAUCUUGACCAGGAGCACUUUUCUUUUUCCUUUCUAUUCCUCAAAGCUCUCCCAAACCACAUGCAUUUAUACCUGCUGGCAGGAAAAAAAAAUGACAAAAUUGAAGCUUUAAAAUAAAAGCAUAAAAUAAAUAUAUAUUGCUCCUUGCAAGUUAAUUACAAAAAGUCCUAUUACUGUUGGUGUGUGUGUGUGGAGAGUGGAGGUAGCUAGAGUUUCAAUAUUAAAAGCAAUUGUUUAACUUUUUGUAAUAAGAACCAUUUUUCAUAGCACUACAUAGCUCAUACACAGUUAUAUGGGAUCCUCCUCCUCUUCCAUUCCCAGCUGCUUAACAUCUCUGAGCCAUCUCUGAGGUUUGGAGAGGAAAAGACUAAGAAAGAAGUCUGCACUGUACCCCUUAAAGUAGAAUACCUUUCAACAUGUGCUGAAAAAAUGCAGAGGAGCAGAUGCAAUUCCCUGCUUCCAUUUGGAUUUCACAUGGCAUUGCGCUACUGGAACAAAACCUAGGACUGUUAAUGUUUUCUGGCAAUGAUCUACGUCUACACCAUUGACUUGAGAAACCACUAGAAACCAUUUUGUCAAUGUUAAAUAUCCUUUAUUUUUCAGUCACUUCUUACACAGAGCAGUAAGGAAAGUCAGUUAAGCUAACAAUACUGUAUGUAAUGAAAUCGCUCAUUUAUAAGACUAAAGCUAUGUUUAUGUGGGUUUAUGAUUAUGCAGAUGUAUGUUAAAGCAUUUGAAAUUAGCCCUCAUCUUGACUUUGAUGAAUAUGGAAAAUUAGAGCAUUGAGAAAAGGCCUGGACAUUUUUCCCAAAAGGAAAGAUAACUUUGUUUUGACAAGAAUGACUUCAUCUUGACAUAUUUAUAAUACAAAAUAAAGCUAAAAUAGAAAUAUUUGUAAGAACUGUC
rnacentral:lncRNA from 1 species